rnacentral:rRNA from 1 species
GAUGAACGCUGGCGGCGUGCCUAAUACAUGCAAGUCGAGCGAAUGGAUUAAGAGCUUGCUCUUAUGAAGUUAGCGGCGGACGGGUGAGUAACACGUGGGUAACCUGCCCAUAAGACUGGGAUAACUCCGGGAAACCGGGGCUAAUACCGGAUAACAUUUUGAACCGCAUGGUUCGAAAUUGAAAGGCGGCUUCGGCUGUCACUUAUGGAUGGACCCGCGUCGCAUUAGCUAGUUGGUGAGGUAACGGCUCACCAAGGCAACGAUGCGUAGCCGACCUGAGAGGGUGAUAGGCCACACUGGGACUGAGACACGGCCCAGACUCCUACGGGAGUCAGCAGUAGGGAAUCUUCCGCAAUGGACGAAAGUCUGACGGAGCAACGCCGCGUGAGUGAUGAAGGCUGUCGGGUCGUAAAACUCUGUUGUUAGGGGAGAACAAGUGCUAGUUGAAUAAGCUGGCACCUUGACGGUACCUAACCAGAAAGCCACGGCUAACUACGUGCCAGCAGCCGCCGUAA